UACGGAGGGUGCGAGCGUUGUCCGGAAUCACUGGGCGUAAAGGGCGCGUAGGCGGCUGGGGAAGUCGGCGGUGAAAGCCCGGAGCUCAACUCCGGGUCGGCCGUCGAGACUCCUCGGCUCGGGCUCACUAGAGGCAGAUGGAAUUCCGGGUGUAGCGGUGGAAUGCGUAGAGAUCCGGAAGAACACCGGUGGCGAAGGCGGUCUGCUGGGGUGAGGCUGACGCUGAUGCGCGACAGCGUGGGGAGCAAACAGG
rnacentral:rRNA from 1 species